AGAAUCAACGCUGGCGGCGUGCCUAACACAUGCAAGUCGAACGAGAAAGUGGGAGCAAUCCCACGAGUAAAGUGGCGCACGGGUGAGUAACACGUGACUAACCUACCCUUGAGUGGGGGGAUAACCUAGGGAAACCUGGGCUAAUACCGCAUAAUACCUACGGGUCAAAGGAGCAAUUCGCUUAAGGAGGGGGUCGCGGCAGAUUAGUUAGUUGGCGGGGUAAUGGCCCACCAAGACAGUGAUCUGUAUCCGGCCUGAGAGGGCGCACGGACACACUGGAACUGAAACACGGUCCAGACUCCUACGGGAGGCAGCAGUGGGGAAUUUGCGCAAUGGGGGAAACCCUGACGCAGCAACGCCGCGUGGAGGAUGAAGCCCCUUGGGGCGUAAACUCCUUUCGAUCGGGAAGAUAAUGACGGUACCGGAAGAAGAAGCCCCGGCUAACUUCGCGCCAGCAGCCGC
rnacentral:rRNA from 1 species